CCGACCUUAGCUCAGUUGGUAGAGCGGAGGACUGUAGUUUGAUUAAUCUAUCUAAGUUGGAAAUCCUUAGGUCGCUGGUUCGAAUCCGGUAGGUCGGA
rfam:Ipomoea nil DNA, scaffold: scaffold2701, cultivar: Tokyo-kokei standard.